UCCAAAGGAAAUUGUCUCAAUAAAUCCCAUAAAAUUUCAGGAGCCCUCCCAAGCCAUAUUAGGUGCUCACCUAAAAUCUCACCUUGAUCCAAGGUGGGGAAGUGCACCUAAUGAGACCAAAACCCUCUUUGUCCAGAGUAGAGUUGGAACAACUCUACAUUGCAAAGUUUCUCCAAUGAAGCUGAAACUUUGCACAGGUGUUUGACACCCCAAAUGAGGACUCCACACCAAAGAUGAGAUUUGUGAGACUCUGUUUGGCCACACUCCCUUUGUAAAUGACAAUACUGGUCAUUUUGAAACAUUUUCAAGUUUACAAAGCCAAACUUGUUCAAUGGAGCUCAGAUUUGGUGGAACCCCAUGUUUUUACCCCAAGACCAAACCUGUUAAGUUUCAUUUCCAGUGGUGGGG
rnacentral:lncRNA from 1 species